UUUGAACGCUGGCGGCAGGCUUAACACAUGCAAGUCGAGCGGAGAUGAGGUGCUUGCACCUUAUCUUAGCGGCGGACGGGUGAGUAAUGCUUAGGAAUCUGCCAUUUAGUGGGGGACAACAUUCCGAAAGGAAUGCUAAUACCGCAUACGUCCUACGGGGGAAAGCAGGGGAUCUUCGGACCUUGCGCUAAAUGAUGAGCCUAAGUCGGAUUAGCUAGUUGGUGGGGUAAAGGCCUACCAAGGCGACGAUCUGUAGCGGGUCUGAGAGGAUGAUCCGCCACACUGGGACUGAGACACGGCCCAGACUCCUACGGGAGGCAGCAGUGGGGAAUAUUGGACAAUGGGCGGAAGCCUGAUCCAGCCAUGCCGCGUGUGUGAAGAAGGCCUUUUGGUUGUAAAGCACUUUAAGCGAGGAGGAGGCUACUAGUACUAAUACUACUGGAUAGUGGACGUUACUCGCAGAAUAAGCACCGGCUAACUCUGUGCCAGCCGCCGCGGUAAGAC
rnacentral:rRNA from 1 species